rnacentral:rRNA from 1 species
GGGUUGUGAGGUUAAGCGACUAAGCGUACACGGUGGAUGCCCUGGCAGUCAGAGGCGAUGAAGGACGUGCUAAUCUGCGAAAAGCGUCGGUAAGGUGAUAUGAACCGUUAUAACCGGCGAUGUCCGAAUGGGGAAACCCAGUGUGUUCCGACACACUAUCAUUAACUGAAUCCAUAGGUUAAUGAGGCGAACCGGGGGAACUGAAACAUCUAAGUACCCCGAGGAAAAGAAAUCAACCGAGAUUCCCCCAGUAGCGGCGAGCGAACGGGGAGGAGCCCAGAGCCUGAAUCAGUGUGUGUGUUAGUGGAAGCGUCUGGAAAGGCGCGCGAUACAGGGUGACAGCCCCGUACACAAAAAUGCACAUGCUGUGAGCUCGAUGAGUAGGGCGGGACACGUGGUAUCCUGUCUGAAUAUGGGGGGACCAUCCUCCAAGGCUAAAUACUCCUGACUGACCGAUAGUGAACCAGUACCGUGAGGGAAAGGCGAAAAGAACCCCGGCGAGGGGAGUGAAAAAGAACCUGAAACCGUGUACGUACAAGCAGUGGGAGCCCUGAUUUAUCAGGGUGACUGCGUACCUUUUGUAUAAUGGGUCAGCGACUUAUAUUCUGUAGCAAGGUUAACCGAAUAGGGGAGCCGGAGGGAAACCGAGUCUUAACUGGGCGUUAAGUUGCAGGGUAUAGACCCGAAACCCGGUGAUCUAGCCAUGGGCAGGUUGAAGGUUGGGUAACACUAACUGGAGGACCGAACCGACUAAUGUUGAAAAAUUAGCGGAUGACUUGUGGCUGGGGGUGAAAGGCCAAUCAAACCGGGAGAUAGCUGGUUCUCCCCGAAAGCUAUUUAGGUAGCGCCUCGUGAAUUCAUCUCCGGGGGUAGAGCACUGUUUCGGCAAGGGGGUCAUCCCGACUUACCAACCCGAUGCAAACUGCGAAUACCGGAGAAUGUUAUCACGGGAGACACACGGCGGGUGCUAACGUCCGUCGUGAAGAGGGAAACAACCCAGACCGCCAGCUAAGGUCCCAAAGUCAUGGUUAAGUGGGAAACGAUGUGGGAAGGCCCAGACAGCCAGGAUGUUGGCUUAGAAGCAGCCAUCAUUUAAAGAAAGCGUAAUAGCUCACUGGUCGAGUCGGCCUGCGCGGAAGAUGUAACGGGGCUAAACCAUGCACCGAAGCUGCGGCAGCGACACUGUGUGUUGUUGGGUAGGGGAGCGUUCUGUAAGCCUGUGAAGGUGUACUGUGAGGUAUGCUGGAGGUAUCAGAAGUGCGAAUGCUGACAUAAGUAACGAUAAAGCGGGUGAAAAGCCCGCUCGCCGGAAGACCAAGGGUUCCUGUCCAACGUUAAUCGGGGCAGGGUGAGUCGACCCCUAAGGCGAGGCCGAAAGGCGUAGUCGAUGGGAAACAGGUUAAUAUUCCUGUACUUGGUGUUACUGCGAAGGGGGGACGGAGAAGGCUAUGUUGGCCGGGCGACGGUUGUCCCGGUUUAAGCGUGUAGGCUGGUUUUCCAGGCAAAUCCGGAGAAUCAAGGCUGAGGCGUGAUGACGAGGCACUACGGUGCUGAAGCAACAAAUGCCCUGCUUCCAGGAAAAGCCUCUAAGCAUCAGGUAACAUCAAAUCGUACCCCAAACCGACACAGGUGGUCAGGUAGAGAAUACCAAGGCGCUUGAGAGAACUCGGGUGAAGGAACUAGGCAAAAUGGUGCCGUAACUUCGGGAGAAGGCACGCUGAUAUGUAGGUGAAGCGACUUGCUCGUGGAGCUGAAAUCAGUCGAAGAUACCAGCUGGCUGCAACUGUUUAUUAAAAACACAGCACUGUGCAAACACGAAAGUGGACGUAUACGGUGUGACGCCUGCCCGGUGCCGGAAGGUUAAUUGAUGGGGUCAGCGCAAGCGAAGCUCUUGAUCGAAGCCCCGGUAAACGGCGGCCGUAACUAUAACGGUCCUAAGGUAGCGAAAUUCCUUGUCGGGUAAGUUCCGACCUGCACGAAUGGCGUAAUGAUGGCCAGGCUGUCUCCACCCGAGACUCAGUGAAAUUGAACUCGCUGUGAAGAUGCAGUGUACCCGCGGCAAGACGGAAAGACCCCGUGAACCUUUACUAUAGCUUGACACUGAACACUGGUCCUUGAUGUGUAGGAUAGGUGGGAGGCUUUGAAGUGUGGACGCCAGUCUGCAUGGAGCCGUCCUUGAAAUACCACCCUUUAAUGGCUGGUGUUCUAACGUUGGCCCCUUAUCGGGGUUGCGGACAGUGUCUGGUGGGUAGUUUGACUGGGGCGGUCUCCUCCUAAAGAGUAACGGAGGAGCACGAAGGUUGGCUAAUCCUGGUCGGACAUCAGGAGGUUAGUGCAAUGGCAUAAGCCAGCUUGACUGCGAGCGUGACGGCGCGAGCAGGUGCGAAAGCAGGUCAUAGUGAUCCGGUGGUUCUGAAUGGAAGGGCCAUCGCUCAACGGAUAAAAGGUACUCCGGGGAUAACAGGCUGAUACCGCCCAAGAGUUCAUAUCGACGGCGGUGUUUGGCACCUCGAUGUCGGCUCAUCACAUCCUGGGGCUGAAGUAGGUCCCAAGGGUAUGGCUGUUCGCCAUUUAAAGUGGUACGCGAGCUGGGUUUAGAACGUCGUGAGACAGUUCGGUCCCUAUCUGCCGUGGGCGCUGGAGAACUGAGGGGGGCUGCUCCUAGUACGAGAGGACCGGAGUGGACGCAUCACUGGUGUUCGGGUUGUCAUGCCAAUGGCACUGCCCGGUAGCUAAAUGCGGAAGAGAUAAGUGCUGAAAGCAUCUAAGCACGAAACUUGCCCCGAGAUGAGUUCUCCCUGAGACUUUAAGUCUCCUGAAGGAACGUUGAAGACGACGACGUUGAUAGGCCGGGUGUGUAAGCGCAGCGAUGCGUUGAGCUAACCGGUACUAAUGAACCGUGAGGCUUAACCUUACAACGCCGAAGGUGUUU